AUUGAACGCUGGCGGCAUGCUUUACACAUGCAAGUCGAACGGCAGCGCGGGCUUCGGCCUGGCGGCGAGUGGCGAACGGGUGAGUAAUACAUCGGAACGUGCCCAGUAGUGGGGGAUAGCUCGGCGAAAGCCGGAUUAAUACCGCAUACGACCUGAGGGUGAAAGCGGGGGAUCUUCGGACCUCGCGCUAUUGGAGCAGCCGAUGUCGGAUUAGCUAGUUGGUGGGGUAAAGGCCUACCAAGGCGACGAUCUGUAGCUGGUCUGAGAGGAUGACCAGCCACACUGGGACUGAGACACGGCCCAGACUCCUACGGGAGGCAGCAGUGGGGAAUUUUGGACAAUGGGCGAAAGCCUGAUCCAGCAAUGCCGCGUGUGUGAUGAAGGCCUUCGGGUUGUAAAGCACUUUUGGCGGGAACGAAAAGGACUGUGCCAAUACCACGGUUCGAUGACGGUACCCGCAGAAUAAGCACCGGCUAACUACGUG
rnacentral:rRNA from 1 species